UACGUAGGGUGCGAGCGUUGUCCGGAAUUAUUGGGCGUAAAGGGCUCGUAGGCGGUUUGUCACGUCGGGAGUGAAAACACGGGGCUUAACCCCGUGCCUGCUUCCGAUACGGGCAGACUAGAGGUAUGCAGGGGAGAACGGAAUUCCUGGUGUAGCGGUGAAAUGCGCAGAUAUCAGGAGGAACACCGGUGGCGAAGGCGGUUCUCUGGGACGGUACUGACGCUGAGACGCGAAAGCGUGGGGAGCGAACAGG
rnacentral:rRNA from 1 species